GUCGGGAAUUUUGGGCAAUGGGCGAAAGCCUGACCCAGCAACGCCGCGUGAGGGAUGAAGUAUUUCGGUAUGUAAACCUCGAAAGAAUGGGAAGAAUAAAUGACGGUACCAUUUAUAAGCUCCGGCUAACUACGUGCCAGCAGCCGCGGUAAUACGUAGGGAGCAAGCGUUGUUCGGAUUUACUGGGCGUAAAGGGCGCGUAGGCGGCGCGGUAAGUCACUUGUGAAAUCUCUGAGCUUAACUCAGAACGGCCAAGUGAUACUGCUGUGCUAGAGUGCGGAAGAGGCAACCGGAAUUCUUGGUGUAGCGGUGAAAUGCGUAGAUAUCAAGAGGAACACCUGAGGCGAAGGCGGGUUGCUGAGCCGACACUGACGCUGAUGCGCGAAAGCCAGGGGAGCAAACG
rnacentral:rRNA from 1 species